rnacentral:rRNA from 1 species
AACGAACGCUGGCGGCGUGUUUAAGACAUGCAAGUCGCACGGAGAAUAUGAAUAGCUUGCUAAUUGUAUUCUUAGUGGCGCACGGGUGAGUAACACGUGAGUUACAUGCCUCACAGAGGGGAAUAGCCCGCCGAAAGGCGGAUUAAUACCCCAUGGUCCCGCAAGGGUAAAGGCGGCUUCGGCUGUCGCUGUGAGAUUGGCUCGCGUCCUAUCAGCUUGUUGGUAAGGUAACGGCUUACCAAGGCAACGACGGGUAGCUGGUCUGAGAGGACGAUCAGCCACACUGGGACUGAGACACGGCCCAGACUCCUACGGGAGGCAGCAGUGGGGAAUCUUAGCAAUGGGGGCAACCCUGAUCUAGCCAUGCCGCGUGAGUGACGAAGGCCCUAGGGUCGU